rnacentral:rRNA from 1 species
UACAGAGGGGGCAAGCGUUGUUCGGAAUUACUGGGCGUAAAGCGCGCGUAGGUGGUUUGGUAAGUUGGAUGUGAAAGCCCCGGGCUCAACCUGGGAACUGCAUCCAAACUGCCUGACUAGAGUACGGUAGAGGGUGGUGGAAUUUCCUGUGUAGCGGUGAAAUGCGUAGAUAUAGGAAGGAACACCAGUGGCGAAGGCGACCACCGUGGACUGAUACUGACACUGAGGUGCGAAAGCGUGGGGAGCAA